AUGCGGGCGGCGGCUACCAUGCAGUCGAGCGGUAGCACAGAGAGCUUGCUCUCGGGUGACGAGCGGCGGACGGGUGAGUAAUGUCUGGGAAACUGCCUGAUGGAGGGGGAUAACUACUGGAAACGGUAGCUAAUACCGCAUAAUGUCGCAAGACCAAAGUGGGGGACCUUCGGGCCUCAUGCCAUCAGAUGUGCCCAGAUGGGAUUAGCUAGUAGGUGGGGUAACGGCUCACCUAGGCGACGAUCCCUAGCUGGUCUGAGAGGAUGACCAGCCACACUGGAACUGAGACACGGUCCAGACUCCUACGGGAGGCAGCAGUGGGGAAUAUUGCACAAUGGGCGCAAGCCUGAUGCAGCCAUGCCGCGUGUGUGAAGAAGGCCUUCGGGUUGUAAAGCACUUUCAGCGGGGAGGAAGGCGUUAAGGUUAAUAACCUUGGCGAUUGACGUUACCCGCAGAAGAAGCACCGGCUAACUCCGUGCCAGCAGCCGCGGUAAUACGGAGGGUGCAAGCGUUAAUCGGAAUUACUGGGCGUAAAGCGCACGCAGGCGGUCUGUCAAGUCGGAUGUGAAAUCCCCGGGCUCAACCUGGGAACUGCAUUCGAAACUGGCAGGCUAGAGUCUUGUAGAGGGGGGUAGAAUUCCAGGUGUAGCGGUGAAAUGCGUAGAGAUCUGGAGGAAUACCGGUGGCGAAGGCGGCCCCCUGGACAAAGACUGACGCUCAGGUGCGAAAGCGUGGGGAGCAAACAGGAUUAGAUACCCUGGUAGUCCACGCCGUAAACGAUGUCGAUUUGGAGGUUGUGCCCUUGAGGCGUGGCUUCCGGAGCUAACGCGUUAAAUCGACCGCCUGGGGAGUACGGCCGCAAGGUUAAAACUCAAAUGAAUUGACGGGGGCCCGCACAAGCGGUGGAGCAUGUGGUUUAA
rnacentral:rRNA from 1 species